UUGGGUGAUAAUUAGGGAUUCUUAUUCUAAUCUAUCUUUGUCCUUUUCUAAUUGUAGAUGUCGAACGCAAACAACGCUGCUGCUAGUUCUUUCACGUUGAUGAGCCUUUGCCAAAAGGUCACCUUCGAUGGAACGAACUUUAGCGAAUGGAUAAGAUACAUUCGCACCAUUGCUCGCUAUGAGGAUAAGGAGUAUGUCCUCGAUGAGAAGCUCGAGAAAAUCAACCCCGAAAUUGCUACUCCCGCCGAAAUCACCGCCUUUGAAACUCAUGAGCGAGAUGCAACGAAGGUACAUUGCAUCAUGAUCGCCACCAUGAACUCCGAAUUCCAAAAGUCCUACGAGGACAUGUACCCGUACGAGAUGCAUCAAGACUUAUUGGAGAGGUACCACCAAAACGCGAGACAAGAGAGGUACGAGAUUUUCACUAACAUGAUUUCCGCGAAGAUGGGUCAUGGAGAAUCUCUUACCGUGCACUUGCAAAAGAUGCAAAGGUAUGUUGACCGCCUCCGCAAGUUAAAUGUUGACUUCGGUGAAGACUUGGCGAUCGACAUGGUGCUUCACUCUUUGCCUCCGAUGUACAACCAAUUUAGGAUGACCUACCACAUGAACAAAGAAGAGGUCACCCUAAGCAAGCUCCAAGGUCUCUUGAGGGUUGCUGAGAGCAACUUCAAAGACAAGUCUGUUGCACCUACUCCCAAUCCGCCCGCUGCUCCUGUCUUGGCUAUUGGACAAGGGAAGGGAAAGAAGAGGAAAGCUUCAUCGAAGAACUAUCGCAAGGUGAAAGCCCGAGAUGGUGCCUCUUCUAGUGGGACCAAAGUUGAUCCCGCCAAGCCCUGCUCUAACCCGAAGGAGGCAGAGUGCCACCACUGCCACAAGAUAGGACAUUGGAAGAGAAGCUGCCCGGAUUACCUGCAAGCAAUCAAAGAAGGAAAGAUCAAGCCAUCUUUCGCAGGUAUAUAUACAAUCAAAUCUAACGAUUCUAAUCAUGCUAUUUCUUGGGUUCUUGAUACCGGUUGUGGUUAUCACAUUUGUUCUAAUGUGCAGGGACUAAGAAGAAGUAGGGAUGUGGAGCAAGGAAGGAUCAAUCUAAUCAUGGGGAACAGAAGAUCGUCGCCUGUGACCAAGAUUGGAGUGUAUUCCUUAGUGCUUAGGAAUAGUUUAGUUUUAGAUUUGAACAAUUGUUGCUAUUCGCCAGAAAUGGCAAGAAACAUCAUUUCAUUUCAUGGUUUAUAUAGACAAGGAUUUAGAUUUUCUUUUAAUAAUGAGAAUGGUUCUAUUUUGGCUUAUCUAAAUGGUGUCUUUUACUUUGAAGCUAUACCAUGUAAUGGAAUAUAUGAAACCGUUAUGAUUGUUGAUAACUUAGGAAAUGAUGUUUUGAAUAUUGAUUCUUCCACUAGUAUGGAUAAAGCAUCCUUGUGGCAUUGUCGUCUUGGACAUGUCAACAAGAAACGCAUAGCCCAACUCCAAAAGGAUGGAGUGUUGGAGUCAUUCGACCUUAGGGAAGAUGACACAUGCGAGUCUUGUUUGCUUGGAAAGAUGACUAAGUCACCCUUCACGAGUACAUGUGAAAGGGGCGAGGGUCUAUUGGACCUAAUACAUACCGAUGUAUGUGGACCGUUUAGAUCAACCACGAAGGAUGGGAACCGCUUCUAUGUGACUUUUACCGAUGACUAUAGUAGAUAUGGGUAUAUCUACUUAAUCAAGCAAAAGUCAGAAACCUUUGAAAAGUUCAAAGAGUUCAAGAAUGAAGUGGAGAAUCAAUUGGGCAGGAAAAUCAAGAUGCUUCGAUCCGAUCGAGGAGGAGAGUACCUAAGUCUUGAAUUCCACGAUUAUCUCAAGGAGUGUGGAAUAGUUUCGCAAUUGACGCCUCCUAGGACACCGCAGUUGAAUGGUGUGGCAGAAAGGCGUAAUCGAACCUUAUUGGAUAUGGUUCGCUCUAUGAUGAGUCGUGCUUCACUACCAAUCUCUUUUUGGGGGUAUGCCUUAGAGACUGCCGCCCAUAUCCUUAACCGAGUCCCUACUAAGAAGGUUGCCAAAACACCUCACGAGAUGUGGACAGGGAAAGCUCCCUCGUUGGCACAUAUCAAGGUUUGGGGUUGCGAGGCUUUCGUAAGACGAGAUACUCACGACAAGCUUGAACCUCGAAGUGAGCGAUGUAUUUUCAUCGGCUACCCGCAGACAUCCUUUGGAUAUCUCUUCUAUAGACCGAAGGACAAUGUUGUCUUCGUUGCGAGGAGAGGAGUUUUCCGAGAGCGAGAACUCAUAAGCCAAGGAGACAGUGGGAGGCAAAUCGAGCUUGAAGAGAUUCAAGAGUCGAUAGAUGAAGGAACCUCUACCGCUGGCACUCAACCCGAGGAGGAAACUCCGGUUGAACCGAUUGACGAAUCCUUACCUCUUAGACGUUCCGAUAGAGUUAGAGUUCAACCCCAGUUUUAUGGUUUUCAUAUUACUACCGAAGGGGACACGUAUAUUAGUGAUGGUACACUAAUAAAUCUUGAUGAACCUAAUAGCUAUAAGGAAGCCAUGGCAGGCCCGGAGUCUGCAAAAUGGAAAGAGGCAAUGGAUAGCGAGAUCCAAUCCAUGUAUGAUAACCAAGUUUGGAAUUUGGUUGAUUAUGUGCCCGGACGUAAGACCGUUGGGUGCAAAUGGAUCUUCAAGAAGAAGACCGACGUGGAUGGAAACGUACACACAUAUAAAGCGCGAUUGGUUGCGAAGGGCUUUACUCAAACUCCCGGAGUUGACUAUGAUGAGACCUUCUCACCAGUUGCGAAGAUUAAAUCUAUUAGAGUGAUGCUAGCAAUUGCCGCAUUUCAUGAUUAUGAGAUUUGGCAAAUGGAUGUCAAGACCGCUUUCCUUAACGGAAAGUUGGCUGAGGAUGUUUACAUGGCUCAGCCAGAGGGGUUUGUGGAUCCGAAGCAUCCGAAUAGAGUGUGUAAGCUUGAGAAGUCCAUUUAUGGACUUAAGCAAGCGUCUCGCAGAUGGAAUCUUUGCUUCGAUGAGAAAGUCAAAGAGUUUGGAUUUGUACGAAGCGAAGACGAAUCUUGUGUAUAUGUCAAAGCCAGUGGGAGUAUAGUAAGCUUCCUCGUUCUAUAUGUCGAUGACAUAUUACUCAUAGGAAACGACAUCCCGACUCUGCAGGAGGUUAAGUCCUGGCUCGGGAAGUGCUUCGCUAUGAAGGACCUCGGAGAGGCUUCCUAUAUUUUGGGAAUAAGGAUAGUAAGAGAGAGAAGUAAGAGACUAAUAGGACUUAGUCAGAACACUUACUUAGAGAAGGUACUAAAAUGUUUUAGUAUGGAAAACUCGAAGAAGGGAGAACUACCGAUACAAAGUAAUGCCAAGUUGAGUAAGACUCAAAGUCCGAGUACCGAAGCUGAAAUAGCAGAAAUGAGCCGAGUACCAUACGCUUCCGCAGUUGGCUCAAUCAUGUACGCUAUGACUUGUACUCGCCCUGAUGUAGCCUUCGCUUUGAGCAUGGUUAGCAGAUAUCAAGGGAAUCCUGGCAGAGCUCAUUGGAUUGCGGUGAAAAAUAUCCUUAAGUACCUUCGGAGGACGAAGGAAUGGUUCUUAGUCCUCUGAGGGAGUGAUGACUUGAAGGUGCGAGGGUAUAGUGAUGCCAGCUUUCAGACCGACAGGGACAACUAUCGUUCGCAGUCGGGCUGGGUCUUUACCCUGAAUGGAGAAGCAGUGUCUCGGAAAAGUUCCACGUAGGAAACCAUAGCUGAUUCAACGUGUGAAUCAGAGUACAUUGCAGCGAGCGAAGCGUCGAAGGAGGCAAUAUGGUUGAAGAACUUUAUCGGUGAUCUUGGAGUUGUACCUGCCAUAAAGGAGCCCAUGGAAAUUUUCUGUGAAAAUGAAGGAGCAGUUGCUUUGACCAAGGAACCAAGAGAUCAUGGUAGAUCACGACAUAUCGACAGAAAAUAUCACUUUAUUAGACAUCGUGUAGAAGAAGGACAACUCGUAGUGAAGAGGAUAUCAUCAGAAGAUAACCCAGCAGAUCCGCUUACGAAGGGACUGAGUAGGGUUAAGCACUUGCAGCAUGCUAGGAGUAUUGGGCUGAAGGAUGAUAUUAGCAUAGAUUAGAUAGUAUUAGAAACGUGUAAUAGAUAAAUGUAAUUAACAUUUGAUGAUUAAAUAAAGGAGUUUUAUUUAUGAGUAAUGUUACUGUCUUAUGUUAAUUGUUUAACUAUUGUUUCACUUUGCAUGUUUUGACUUCCAGAAUAAUUGAGUUUAUUAGGAAUAAUCGAAUUGUUCAAAUUGUCCACAAUCGUUCAUAUGUUGGAAGUAGAUAUGAAUGAAGAUUGUCAUGAAUUGGUGUGUAGAUUGUCUAAAUGGUGUUAGACAUAGCAAAGGGUUGCUGCAACGUUCAUGAGUGCUUAUGAACUGGUUUUGAGCAUUGGAACAAACCCGCGCUUGCUGGAAUCACCUUAUGGAAUAUGAUAUAAAAGGGUGAUCGCAAGACGAUAAUAUCAUAUAGUCUUAAAACCUAGAUAUAUGGUUUGUUAUUUGUUAAUUGGUUGUACAUUGAUAAUGCGAAAACGCAUCAGUAACUCGGUGUUAUAAAACGUAUUGUUGUGUAUAGUUGAUUAAUGAAUAAGUAAAUGCAUAUAAGUCGAAGUUUAUCUGUUACUUUUAUCCCAAGAGGGUAAAAGCGAUAUCUCUGCCGGUCGAUGAUUUGAUUUGACUUAUGUGUCUUGCCCGGUCAGAGCUGAAUUGAUGUGUUCGAUUAAGUUCUAUGUCAAAUGAAUCGGAGAUCGAGAAAUCAUAAUGCUAGACUAAUUAUUCCAUAGAAUUGUCAGCAUGAUAUCUAACAUAGGACUGUACGAUCCCUUAUCUAAAGGACAAGAUUGAUUAGAUCAGAGUUUGACAGCGUCUUUGAGAGCUACGAUUGCAAAUCGAAUUGUACUUGUGCAUAUAGUUACUAGACUUAUCCAAGUGGGAGACUGUUGGAAUAGUGUCUAAGGCUGCAACUAUAUUAGGCAAGUAUUUGACCCGAUUGUGCAUGGUCCUUUUGGGUUGCCUUCACCAUAGCAACUUGAUAGGAUGAUUUAUUAUGAGAGAAUAAAUAUUAUUAAUAUAUUAUGAGAAUAAUAUAAGGAAUAAUAAUAUUUUUACUUGAUUAAUAUAAGUCAUGAAUUAAUUAGAAUUAAUUUUGUGACUUAAAGAGAUUAAUUAAAUAAGAGGGUAUAAACUGUCAAUUGUUUGAUAGUUACACUUUGGGCUGUAAAUCCUUAUUGGAUAGGGUUGGACGAUUUCUAGGGCUUAGGAUAAGCCACAAAUCGUCCAACGGCUUAUCAUGGAAAGUAUUUGGAUUGCUUUGAGUAAAGAUUAUCCAACUAGGGUUUAAGGGUGAAACCCUAGGAGCCUUACAAGUAUAAAUAGACCCCUAGGGCAAGGGAAAUCGGCACCUCUGCUAAAGCAAAGAAACCCUGGCCGAUUUCUAAUCCCUCUCCUCUUUCUCAUAUCAUCCUCUUGCUAGUUGGUGUUUGUAAGCCAUUAGAGGAGUGACAUUUGUGACUCUAAAGCUCUAAGAACAAGAAGAUCAAACAAGUGUUUCAAGGUAAGCUUCUAACUCUGAUUUUGUAUUGUUCUUAUACUCUAUUAGCCAUUAGAUGUCUUGGAUUCAAUUCAUGUUUAAUUAGAGAAACCUAGAUCCAAGCAUUAGGGUUUGCAUGUGCACAUAGGAAUGUUCAUAUGGCCAAAACCCAUCACUUACUUCAUGAAUAAUUACUAAAAAACUAAGAUAUAUAUAGUAAUAAUCAUAUGUGUGUAUGUUAGAUAAUAAAUCAUUAAGUUUAUUAUAAAUAUUAAUAACCAAGCUGACCGAGUUUUACAACAUUGUUCGCUUCAGUAAGGGGACGAUCGGGAAGUACUCAGAUUUUGUAACUCGCAUCGGUAAGGGCCGAGUAAGGAGUAGUCGACCGAGUAAUUGGUCAACUCAACGAGUUUUACAACACUAAUUUUAUAGAUGAAAAUAGUUUUUACAUGUCAACUAACAUUCACACAUAAUAUAUAUCACUUGGAGUUUGAGUAAAAAAUAUUUAAAAGGUAGCAUAAGAUGUUUAUAAAUGACUAUUUAUAAAAACGCUUUAUUAGGUACCUGUUAAAAAUCGGAUUUUUGUUAAAAGAAGUUUCAUUGUAAAACUUAUAAACAGUCAACCUUAAAAUGUUUGAAAUGCUUUGAAAUUUGUUUGAACAUUAUACAAACUCCAUUUCCUUUAAAUAAAUAAUGAUUUUUUUAUUAAAAAGACUAAAAUCGGGUUAUAGCGUUAUAACGUUAAAUAUUAAUAAUAGUGAUUAUUCUUUACGUUGAAACUUAAUAUAUGAUAUUAGUUUUUUAAUACUUAAUGCAACUUGUUGAUAGUAUGUUUUAUGCAUGUCAAAUGAGAUUUAAAACAUAAUUAUCGUCACCCAAAUUUUGGUUUAUUAAUAUAUGGUUUUUGUUAUAAGAUGCAUAGAAUUGAGUUUGAAAAAUAAAAUGAGUUUUAAUAUACAAAUUCAUAAAGUCAUAAGAUUUUGAUUGUUAAAAGGAGAUUUAAAUUUUUGAUUUUAAAACUCAUUCAAAAUUCCAAGUCUUACAUACAAAAUAAAAUUUUAUUGAGACUGUUUCCUGUCCUUAAGCGUUCUACAACUAAACCUUAAAAUAUCAUAUUUUAGUUUAUAAUUGAUCACGGUUAAUGGUAAUUGAAAUGAAGGUUUAUUUGGAACCUAAGGAACCUUAUAAUAAGUGAUAUGAUUUUUACAAAAGGUUACAUAAAUUGUUGGAUGCAUGGAAUAUUCAUGAGUACAUGUUUUUAUAACUAUAUUUUUAAGUCAUAUGUAAAAUCUGCAGGUCAUUGUCAUCCUAUUGAAUAACACUUAGGCAUGAUUUGCAUAGUUUUAGUAGGCGAUGAGUCACCUAACCGCUAGGAUUGUCUUCGUAUAUUCGGGGUAGUUUUGUAUUUUCUUUUAACAUAAGGGUUACAUAGUCUUUAGUUAGUUGCAAUGCUUCAAGUUGUUUCAAGUAGGACUAUUUUAUCGGAAUCUUGUGUGAUAAAGGUCACCUAAGCAUGAGAGAUCUAGGGCAUAGAUGGGAUUAAACAUUCAAAGAUAAGUAAUAGUCGUUUGGGAUCCCAUUAUCCAGGAAUUACGUAUGUUAUGUAAUUGGUAAUCGCUACCUCUCAAGUUUGAUAAAGUGGAUGGGAUAAAAGACACCUAACUGUUUACUUGUUUCGUUACUUGGAUCCUAGACGUUAAUAAAUUAAUGUUCUAGAAACAAUAAAAUAUAUUAAUAUUUAUAGACUUAAUAUUAAGAAUACUAAAUGAAAUUUUGUUAAAUUUUAUAUAUAACUUAAAAUAUUCUUACGCCAUCUAUAAAAGCUCUCUCUUGUUGAGUUUCAGCAGAUAGUGACAUUUGAUGGUUUUAAUUUCUAUAAUGGGUAUAAUAUCUUGAGCUUAUUCCAUAGGGAUAAAUAGAAAUUAUAUAUACUGAGAGAUCACAUAUCUGAAGAACCUGUACGAACUAGUCAGUCUGUUCAUGAUGCUUUGAUGGAAGUCUUAUUAUCAUAAUGUUGUUGUGUAUAAUUGUAACAUCCCGAAAAUACGGUCCAAUUUUUUUUUUAAUUUAAUAAUAAAACCAUAAGUGUCAACCAUUCAUUCAAAACAUAUUAUAUCAGAGUGUUAUGUCUAAAACAUUAUUCUAUUUUAUCAGAGCAAACAUCCCAAGUUAAAACUUCUUGGUUUGUGCCAUGCGAUCAUCCUGAGCUCCUCCCUACGAUACCGGAAGUACCUGCAACCAAAAUUGAAAACCAUAAUCACGAAACUUAGUGAGUUCCCCAACCUACCACAUACCGAAUAUGCAUAACCACCUACACAUAACCACAUACUAGACCCUCUCCCAUUGCAUCGGGUCGUGCCCAGCAUCGGGCCCCACCUGGCAUCGAGCCUCGCUCAGUAUACAUAUAUGUCUCUCUUAGGCCCCGCCUGCUAAACACAUACAAUCAUAUAACAUAACACAAAACACAUAAACUAAACAUACUCUACUGAAUACACGUUAUAAGGCCUCGCCUAUCUUAGUCCUCCCCCUAUCCUACUACUGAUAAGUCAUGAAACCCCAUCCACGCCCCUGCUGAUAGUGAGAUACGGGUCCCCGAUCACACUCAUCACUCUCGUAACUCGGGCCUUGCCCCUGCUAUGCUACUAAUGAGAUACGAAACCCCAUCCAUACUCUGCUAGUGGUGAGAUACGGGACCCCGCCCAUACUCACCUACCUACUAGUCACAUACAAGUAUCACACAGACAACAAGUAUAAACUAACAUACAAACAUUUUCUGGGCACCUACCCAGCGUCGGACCUUGGUCCAGAAUCACAUACAUAUAACACUUCCUCGGGUACCCACCCAGCAUCGGACCUUGGUCCGGAAUAACAUACUAGCAUAUAGUGCCUAGGGCUAACCCCCGGGUCUCUCUACUCAUAAACUACAUGGGCCGGAUUUGUAGCCUUAGACCCAUUCACACAGUGAGGAGACUCACUUUGCACUACUGAAGUUCUGCUGAUGCCCCUCUGGCUGCUAUCUGACAAAUCCUCGAACUGCACGUCCUGCAGCUCCCCGAGCUACGAAUACCAAGACAACACUUAGUCCAAAACCAACAAUUUUCCUUAGGGUAAAAUGACCAUUUUACCCCCUAGUCCAUCCCGGUCAAUAUCUAAGCCUAAACAAUAAAAUAAAGACCCAACACUAAGUGGACCUCCUAAGCCCACUAGUGGCCUACUAAUGGCCCAAUUUGCUAUAAUAGGACCAAACCCUUUAAUGAGCCUUACCUUAAGAUCAAAACAUAUUAUUGGCCCAUAUUUACCGACUCCAAAUGGCCCAUCAAAUCCCAAAUACCCAAGCAUUCCCUUAAACAGUGGCCUGAUAACACAUAGCCCAUAAAGACUAAGUACGCGGGGCGUACAUCUAUAUACAAUAAGCGUACAGGCAAGAUGGUGCGUACGUUGGGCGUACCUGAACGUACGUUAAGCGUAACCCUCCUGCUAAAGCCCUCUAUCCAUUAAGUGCUUAAUAUUCAGAUCUAAAAGCUACCAUUAUAGAUCCUGGUCCUUUUCCAGAUCGUAGCCCAUAAAGUCACUGACUUGGUGACUUUACUUGACCCAAACAAGCCCAAACUCCAAAGUGAUAUUCUACUUCCAUAAGAGGGGCUAUAUCUCAUGCAUGAACACAAAUGGACCAUCAAGGUGACAAAUUUCUGCAUUAGGGACUCAUUUAGAAUUGAAAAUGGCAACUCAAGGUCUAACAAAACAAGUUGAGUCAUAAAGGUCCAAUCUUAGGUCCUAAAACAUCCAAAAACUCCAUCCUAGAAGAUCUAAACAUUCAAGAGACAUGUUCAAGACUUUAUUCCUCAAGAAGCUCUGGAAUGAAGCAAUAACCCCAGAUCUAUAUCUUCUCCUUCACUCCACCACCUUCCUUGUUCUUCACUUGCUUGAGAAAAUGGCUUACAACACUAGAAUACUCUCCAAAGACCUCCAAGCUCCAAAAACACUCAAGGGAGGAACUUUAUAUCCAUUAAGGGGCCAUUAAUGUCAAUAACUUCAAAGUGAUAUAACUCCAUCAUUCUAAUUUCGCUUCUAACGAACUUUAUAUCCACAAAAAGGUGGCGAGAAGCCCUACGCUUCAAGCGGCACACCUCGGCCCAAAACUUCUCGAAUAGAAACUUCAAGGCCCAUAAAAGAAGGAAACGCCGUAGCCUCGGGCUCUGAAAUGCAUAAACAAAUGCUUUCAUAACAGGGAAUUAAAACUCUCCCCCACUUAAACUAGACUUCAUCCUCGAAGUCCGCUACAGCUAACUAUCAUGUAAUCAACUCACAACAUUCCUUCCCGAUGCAUACAUUUCCUGUUGGGUCCGAUCCCCGAAGGACCACUACCAUUGGUCUUCUGUCCGGUCUCUCCGCAAAAUAAUCCCUGAAGAUAAGAACCUCGAGAGCGGUCUAAUCACCAAAAAUCCUGAAAAUGCGGCUCUUACCGAAUCGACAAUCCUUUUGGUAAUCCCCGAUUACUUAUGAUGGACAUAUGGGUUCACCCCUUUUUCCUUCCGCGUUCACCGGCCAUCUCAAGGCAACUUCCCAUAAAUAACAACCUUCUCUAUAUCUGUGAAGGAUAUACCCUUCGCUGAAUAUACCCCUCCAGCCACUCCCAGUGUUGGUUACUUCACUGUACACAUUGAAUGUUUCCUCUUACGAUAUCUUGGUGCUGAAAACCCAUCCCAGCGAAAUGGAUCAGAAAAUCCUUUGAGUAAAAGAUUCAUCCCUGCAACGGUUAGACUCAUACAAGAGCUACACAACAGGGUCAAACCCUUCCCUAAGAGAUUAUUUAACCCUGUUAUGAGAGGCGUAGCACUUCUCGGUCAACUAGCUGCCCCACACCAAACUUCUCGUAUCCUUACUUCCACUGACUGAAGAUUCUACUGUCUCUUAUCUGCCUUUCGGAUUAACCGAGACCACCCUGGUCCAAACUAAUUUGCCAUCAACUGGGUUACUGGACUCCCACUUGUUAAAGAACCCAAUCUCAAUCACUCAGUCGCUCCCAGCGACUCCGAAAGGAAACAUCGGAUAUCUAAAACUGUUCUGUCUACCUUGCCACUCUGAAUCUGUAUGCUCUGGGAUCCUCGAUCCCCUAACCUGACCCUAAGGUCUCUACCAGGUCCCACCUGCACUGCUACCAACAUACAUGCCUCGCCCAUGGGUCUUACCCGACUAUAUCUUGGAGCAGCCUCUCCCAAGGUCUCACCUCUCUAGGGCUAUGCAGGCCAACUCCACACUGAAUCUCAUCGAAUUAUCUUUUCCUGAUUUCUAUCAUGCUAACUAGGAGACACGGGCCUCGCCCAAACUCCGCUAACUAAGAGAUACAGGCCCUCGCCCACACUCCUCUCACAGGCUACUAACAAAUGUUGCAGCUAUCCCACAGUCUUACCACACUCUCCAUGCUAACUAUACCACUUACUACUAAUCCAAAAGCAUCCCAUGCCAUACGUUCACAUAAUCUACAUCCUGACUCACUCGAGUCCUGCUGGCGAUUCUCCGACCUGGUUUCCCAAACCAGCGAUCAGCAAACAUGAACAUACGAACUCAACAUUAGGAAGUUUCCCAAACUCCUAGCUCAUGUGCUCCUUAAUCCAACCAGCCACGUGGGCUGAUUUCCUUCUCAAUGAGGAUGCGCACUCAUCCCAGUUUUGUACUUACUUCUGCUUCUGACCUCUCGGGUGGUUCUCCCCCACUUUGAUUCCACUAGCUCCUUAUAGCUUAGAGCUUGAAAAGGAUUCUUAAUCCUUCUCUCCAUCUAAUGGUCGAUUUUCUGACAACCAAUAAUUACUAUUGCUAGUGCUCCAAAACUAACCAAUACCGAAUCUGAACAAUUGUGAAAUACUAACAAAAUACCUUUUGAGCCCCUCUCACACUUGCUAUAGUGACUGCAUCCUAAGAACCUGCUCAAAAGGGGAAACGUCUUCGAAUUACUACUCUGACAUCCAAGGUAUGCAGAUGACAUAUAACUUUAUCAUAAGCAGGAAACAUAAUAUUCUGAAAUGCUCUACUAAAAUUGAUGCAGUACCAUAACAAAAAAAAUCAUAAACAGAAGCUGAAUUUGAUAUACAUACAAGCUAUUUAUUGUGGCUCGAUCUUAACUUCAUGCGGAACCAUGGGCAUUGAAGCCUGAACUCUCUCCACCUCCAAAAUAGGACAAAGAAACAUGAAAUGGCCUGGCUGGCGACAAUGAAAACAUAUCUGAUCCUUCUUGCAAUACUGAUGUACAUGCCCUCUUUCUCCACAUUUGAAACACCUAAACUUGUGACAAGCGAACCCCUGGGUUCCCCCACACUUGCCACAAACCUCAAAAUCUCCAUGACUUCCAACACUCAAGUCAACUGAGUCGGAACCUCCACCUUCCUUUAAUCAUCCUGAUGUUGACGUCCGCUUCCUUUUCCCUAACUGCACAUCCAAACCAAACUCUUGCUCCCGAGUUGCCUCGGCUACCCUAUCAACCACCUGAACAGUCGUCGUCUGACCUUGAAACCUAGCGGUUACCUUGCCAGUAACACGCUCAAUAAUAUCGGGUAACUCCUCACGUACGGCCCCCGAAACCUCCAUAGCAAUCCAACCCUGAAGUGAACUCUCUUGGAGAAAAGGUGCGUAAGCCACCUCCGAUCCCUGACGACAAGAGUUAAUAGCAGGAUCCUCCCUUCUGAGGGAUCCCAAAGGUCCAUAAACAUUGGGCCCUAGAGGAAACCCAAACAUGGCCACCAUCUCAGUGUAAAAGGCUCCCAACCUCUCAUCCAAAAUCUUCAAUAUACCCUCCUUGACCGUACUAAAGAUCACAGGAGUCUGGUCUAGGAUACUGUGUGUAAUCUCUACUAAUACUAACUCUCUCAUCUACUCCCCAAGCUACUCGGCUUCUGAACACAAGCCUGGUCCCUCCUCUGCGCCUGAACUGCCCACUGGUCUAUCCCGUGGUGUCACCAUACUACAAUAUAACAUGACGACCACCAGAAAACUCACCUCUAUCGAGAAAUCAAACACGCACUACAAAUUUAUGGUUUUUAUCUUAGCCCUCCUUGACUCGAAGACAGAUCCCCUGCUUUUAGUAGGAUGCGCCCCUACUACCUUCCACAUCUAUCCGUACUUUCCUCAAGAAUUUUCUCGACUACACCAUGUCCCUUUCACUACUACUAACACUGCCCUCAGCACUACUCCCAUCCUAGGAUUUCCCUAGGGUAACCUCCAACUCGGACCCAGUCCUCAGCUACUGAAGGCAUCUUUAUAAUGCCAACUAGCCACUACCUAAAUACCAUCACAUGUGAAGAGGCUCAGAUAAUCCUCCGAGUAAAGGACUCGUCCCUACAACGGUUAGACUCAUACGAGAACUGCACAAUAGGGCCAAAUCCAGCACUCUGAGAUUAUUCAACCCUGAUCACAUGUGACUUGACGUAUUCACCUAAUGGCUAACUCCCAUCACUCAGAGUCCCAAAAAGCACAAAGCAAUUAGCAUUAAGACCAAAAGGAAAGUCUAACCACAUAAUCCAAUCGUACUGAUCUAUCCUCUACUCAGGAAUCUAUAGUAGCAUGCAACACAAAAAGCUCAUACACAUAUAACAGGCACAUAAGGCAUCCUUUCUAGAUCCUUAGUCCUAAUCUAGCAUGCAAAUCUCAUAAGCAUAUCAUAUCUUAACAUAACUUGUAUGGGUAUUUUGGGGGUACUUACUUGAGCUCGGUUGAUUGCAUGCACCACACCCUUCUUCUCUUUUCAAAGUUCUUUUCUAUUUUCAAAACUCUUUUCCUUUUCUCAAAGCUCAUUUUUACAAAAAAAGAGUUUCUUUUGAAAAUUUCAUACCAAGUCCUCAGUUUGAGUUCAGGCACACUCGAGAGUAUGCCCGAAUCCCUCAAACCAAGGCUCUGAUACCAACUUGUAACAUCCCGAAAAUAUGGUCCAAAAAUUUCGUUUUUAAUUUAAUAAUAAAAACCAUAAGUAUCAAUCAUUCAUUCAAAACAUAUCAUAUCAGAGUGUCAUGUCUAAAACAUUAUUCUAUUUUAUCAGAGCAAACAUCCCAGGUUAAAACUUCUUAGUGUGUGACAUGCGAUCAUCCUGAGAUCCUCCCUCUAAUACCGAAAGUACCUAAAACAAAAACUGAAAACUGUAAGCACGAAGCUUAGUGAAUUCCCUAACCUACCACAUACCGCAUACACAUAACCACCUACACAUAACCAUAUACUGGGCUCCCGCCCACUGCAUCGGGCCCUACCCGACAUCAGGCCCCGCUUGGCAUCGAGCCCUGCUCGGUAUACAAAUUUGUCUCUCUUAGGCCCCGCCUGCCUCCGGGCCCCACCCGCUAAACACAUACAAUCAUAUAAAAUAACACAUAACACAUAAACUAAACAUACUCUACUGAAUUCACGUUCUAAGGCCUCGCCUAUCUUGGGCCUCGCCCCUGUCCUACUACUGAUAAGUCACGGAACCCCGUCCAUGCCCCUACUGAUCGUGAGAUAUGGGUCCCCGCCCACACUCAUCUCUCUCCUAACUCGGGCCUCGCCCCUGCUCUGCUACUAAUGAGAUACGAAACCCCGUCCAUACUCUACUAGUGGUGAGAUACCAGACCUCACCCACACUCACCUCCCUACCAGACACAUACAACUAUCACACAUAAAACAAGUAUAAACUAACAUACAAACCUUCUCCGGGCACCCGCCCGACAUCGGACCUUGGUCCGGAUAACAUACUAGCAUACAGUACCUAGGGCUAACCCUCGGGUCUUCCUACACAUAAACUACAUGGUCCGGAUUUGUGGCCUUAGACACAUUCACACAGUGAGGAGACUCACCUUGCACUGCUGAAGUUCUGCUGAUACCCCUCAGGCUGCUAUCUAACAAAUCCUUGAACUACUGAUCCUUCAGCUUCCCGAGCUACCAAUACUAAGAUCACACUUAGACCAAAACCAAUAAUUCUCCUUAGGGUAAAAUGACCAUUUUAGCCCUUAGUCCAUCCCGGUCCGUAUCUAAGCCCAAAUGAUAAAAUAAAGACCCAACACUAAGUGGACCUCCCAAGCCCACUAAUGGCUCAAUUUGCUAUAAGGGGCCAAAAUGUUGGAAUAGUGUCUAAGGCUGCAAUUAUAUUAGGCAAGUAUUUGACCCGGUUGUGCAUGGUCCUUUUGGGUUGCCUUCACCAUAGCAACUUGAUAGGAUGAUUUAUUAAGAGAGAAUAAAUAUUAUUAAUAUAUUAUGAGAAUAAUAUAAAGAAUAAUAGUAUUGUUAUUUGAUUAAUAUAAGUCAUAAAUUAAUUGGUAUUAAUUUGGUGACUUAAAGAGAUUAAUUAAAUAAGAGGGUAUAAACUGUCAAUUGUUUGAUAGUUAAACUUUAGACUAUAAUUGGAUAGAUGGUGGACGGAUUCUAGAAGCUAAGGAUAGCUUAAAAUCGUCCAAGUCUAUCUAAGGAAUGGAUUUGGAUUGCUUUAAGAGAAGAUUAUCCAAUUAGGGUUUAAGCCGUAACCCUUAAGGAGUCUACAAGUAUAAAUAGACCCUAUGGCAAAGGGAAAUCGGCACUUGAUCUAAAGUAGAGAACCCCUGGCCGAAUUCCUCCCCUCUCCUCUCUCUCAAAUCAUCCUCCUUGCUAUUUGGUGUUUGUAAGCCAUUAGAGGAGUGACAAUUGUGACUCUAGAGCUCCAAGACAACAAGAUCAAACAAGAGAUUCAAAGGUAUGAUUCUAGAUCUGAUUUAGUAUUGUUCUUAUUCCUAAUUAGUCAUUAGAAGUCUUGGAUUCAAAGCAUGUUUAAUUAGAAAGCCUAGAUCCAAGCAUUAGGGUUUUGCAUGCGCACAUAGGAAAGUUCUUAUGGCUAAAACCCAUCAGUGGUAUCAGAGCGUAGCUUGGUUUUCUAUUAAAUUGUUGCUUGUUUGUUUGCAAAAUUCGAAUUUUGUGUUUCUGUGUCAUGAACUCGACGAGUCCCAUGGUGGACUCGACGAGUUGGCCUGACUCGAUGAGUCCAGUUGGGAACUCGACGAGUCCCAACAUUAGGAAGGGCCAGAUUCGGGAUUUUUUUAUAUUUAUCUUAUGGAAACUUGCCUUUAUCAUAUUGGAUCAACCCUAAUCUGAUUUUUUGAUAUAUAUGACUAUAAUCUUGAUCUAAUUAAAGAUAUUUAUCAACUAAUAAAAUAUUUAAUUUCCUUAUAUGAUAAUUAAUUAAUUAUUUUGAUUAAUUUGGUAAUUAUCUUGCAAGAAAUCUUGAAUAAAUCAAAUAUAGAUAAUUAGGAAAUUAAUUGUUAAUUAAAAUUAUUUGUUAUUUGAUCCUCCAUGUUUUAAAUGUUUAAAACUUGUCCUCAAGUUUUGAAAUUUAUAUUUUGUGAUUAAAAGUUUUAAUUUAGACAAUUUAAAUUUCAAACCCUAGAUUUUAAAAGUUUUAAAAUACAACCCUAUACUAAUAUGAUAUUACUAGAAUAAUAUAUAUAUGUAUAACUAAAUGCUAGUCUUACCGUUAGUAGGCCUCAUUCACGAAGCCGAUCUAUAAGGUGGGUAUAAGGUUGCGGCCUAUAAAAUGGCGCUUAAUGGGUGUACACUCACACCCACCGCUUGCUUGAUUGGUGGAGGGUCGUUAGCCGAACGGGUAGGAUAGGGCAACCUCAUCCUCUCAUUAAAAGUAUAAUAAGUAAUACAAAGUAACUACACAUAUUUUUAAAAUUUCCCAAUCUUAGUUACUUUAGGAAAAGUGAAUUGAUGCAAUCCCAUGAAAUUACACUUUGCACCCUUGCUAAGAAGUUAGUGGAGCGUGUGUGGUUUACCGGCACACUAAUUGGUUCUAAGCAAAGGUGGCAAAGGGUGAUUCAUUGUUUAUCAUAGUUCGAUGGAGCGUGUGUGGUUUACCGGCACAUCGAAUAGGUGAUCGUUACAAUGAAGGCACCAUGUGAAUUUGCAUGGUAAUUCACACCCGCUUUGUGAUCCUCGGUAUCCCAGUCACAAACAAGAGGGGCAUAUCGAGAUUUAAACAUGCCAUUGAAUAGUUUCAAUGAAUCUCAUCCGAACCUAGAAAUUCUCAAUACAUUUAGGACUAAUAGUUAGGUUUUUAUGGUGGAGAAUUAGUGAAUCGUCAUUCACUUACCUUCAUUUUAUUUGCAUGUUGGAUUACGGCGUCCCUUUUCUAAUAUGUAAAUGUUGUUGUUGGAUCCUAGCCCGAAUUUUCUUAUUGGGUGAUAAUUAGGAAUUCAUAUUCUAAUCUAUCUUUGGCCUUUCUAUUUGCAGAUGUCGAAUGCAAACAACGCUGCUGCUAGUUCUUUCACAUUGAUGAGCCUUUGCCAAAAGGUCACCUUCGAUGGAACGAACUUUAGCGAAUGGAUAAGAUACAUUCGCACCAUUGCUCGCUAUGAGGAUAAGGAGUAUGUCCUCGAUGAGAAGCUCGAGAAGAUCAACCCUGAAAUCGCUACUCCGGCUGAAAUUACCGCUUUUGAAACCCAUGAGCGCGAUGCAACGAAGGUACAUUACAUCACGAUAGCCACCAUGAACUCCGAAUUCCAAAAGUCCGGUGAGGACAUGUACCCGUACGAGAUGCAUCAAGACUUAUUGGAGAGAUACCACCAGACUCCCCAUCCUGCCUCAAUCUCAAAUACUCAUGAGCCAACCGCUCCCGCUCAACACGUCGAACGUAGCGGGUGCGAAACAUAUCCUUGAACUGCUCCCAAGUAACAGCAGCUCACUAGUCAUCAGUGUACGGCCCUGUCGUCAAUCUCCACCAAUCCUUCGCCCCAAGCCUCAGCAGGUUCACGACACACCUGAACUUAUGGUCAGCAGGACAUGAGCACAUGAAGAAACAACUCUCCACGUCAGGUAACCACCUCAUAGCCCUAAUCGCAUCCUGUGUACCAUCAAACGUCGUGGGUUCAUGUUAUCGAAGUCCCAGU
rnacentral:lncRNA from 1 species